AUGAGCGCCUGGCCCUCUCCUCUGCUCUGGAGCUUGGCCACGGCGUGUCUGACAGGUAUUGCUUUAGGCCAGCUGACCACUACCCAAGUCCCUGUUUCAUCAACCCCGGUGCCUCCCAGUGGCACCACGACCCAUGCCUCCACACCCCCAGCUCCUGGUGGUGUUACAACCACCACAGACCUCGUCACGGCCACAGCUGUGCCAUCGGCAGACCCUGGAACAACAACGCUCGCUCCGGCCCUGCCCACCACCCUGCCGGUGACCGCGCUCACCUCUGGGAUCGUCACCACCUCUCACGCAUCCACCAGUGCCUCGGCCACCCCUCCAGAUGUCACCACGUCUUCUGGAGAUCCACCAACAGCUCCGUCCCUCACCACCUCUGUGCCCUCCAACUGCAGCAGAGUGAACGUGAUGGCAUGUGCCCCUUGCUCCCCAGGGACAUUUCCCAGCGAUGACGCCUGGAGCUGCUCGUGCUGCACGGGGGGCUCGUGCACGGACGCCGGUGCCUGCGUUCCCUGCCCGGUGGGGCACUACCAGCCCGCGUGGGGACAGCAGAGGUGCCUGCCGUGUCCGCAGGGACACUACGCCAACGCCACGAGGAGCACCGCGUGCUCCCCCUGCCCGCCCGGCCAUUACGCGAACGAGUCUGGGGCUGCAGCCUGCAGAGCGUGCCAGAAAGGUUAUUUUAGCUCCCAGCAAAAUGCAGCUUUUUGUCUGCCUUGCCUGCCUGGAUCGUUUUGCAACACCUCCAGCUGCACGGCAUGUCUGGCCUGUCCUGGUGGCCACGAGGCUCUGCGCAAGGCAGCCGAGGCGUGCGCGCCAUGCCGGGCAGGUAUGUUCAAAGGUCCCGGUGACACCGCGUGCAAGCUCUGCGAGCCAGGAGAAUACCAAUUGCUGCAGGGCCAGGAGAGCUGUGACCUGUGCCCAGAGAACCACUACUGCCCCAGCCCGGACGUGAAACCAACCAAGUGCCCUCCUGAUGCCUUCUGCCCCGCAGGCAGCACAGAGCCGCAGUACUGCAUGGAGGCCUUCCUCUACAAGGUGGGCAGCUCCUGCCAGCUGGCGCCGCUGGCCAUCGUCCUCCUGGCCCUUCUGUCCGCAGGUGGAAUCCUUACCAUCUUUGUGAUAAUACUGAAAAGAAGGCACGAAUCUAGCAAGAACUCUUUGAAGUCCCUGCUGCUACCAAGAAAGUCGGGGUGGCACACAACCUACGGCGUGAUGGAGCACACAGAGCCGGUGUAUGCUGGCUGGUAG
ensembl:lncRNA